rnacentral:rRNA from 1 species
UAGGGAAUAUUGCAAAAUGGGCGAAAGCCCGAUGCAGCAACGCCGCGUGGGCGAUGAAGGCCUUCGGGUCGUAAAGCCCUUUUUGAGGGGAUGAGGAAGGACAGUACCCUCAGAAUAAGCCUCGGCUAACUACGUGCCAGCAGCCGCGGUAAAACGUAGGAGGCGAGCGUUAUCCGGAUUUACUGGGCGUAAAGCGCGUGCAGGCGGAUUGGAGAGUUGGAUGUGAAAGCUCCCGGCUUAACUGGGAGAGGUCGUUCAAUACUUCCAAUCUUGAGUGCAGUAGAGGGAAGUGGAAUUCCGGGUGUAGUGGUGAAAUGCGUAGAUAUCCGGAGGAACACCAGUGGCGAAAGCGGCUUCCUGGACUGUAACUGACGCUCAGACGCGAAAGCUAGGGUAGCGAACG